UCCUCGCGCUCUCCAUUGGUGGUCGGCUCCGGCGCUCCUGAAGCCACCAAUCACCGGCCGCGUUUUCUUACAAAGGGUGGAGAGUCGCCUUCCUGAAGCCAUGCUCUCUCUGUACAGGAAAGCUAGGCUGAUGGCUCAAUUGAGGUUAAUGAAAACUCCAAUCAGAGAGGCAAAACGCGAGCGGGAUUAUCGUAUUUACAUAAAGGAGCAAUACGAGAACCUGAGCAGCCCCUAACAGCUGGCCCUGGAAAGGUUUCUGUGGCAAAGGGCCAUCAGAUGUGCUCAUCCUAUAUACUAUGUACACUCUAGUUCGGGUUCCAUCACCACCUAAUUCCGUGUCACUUCCAUCCGGGGGUCUCUGUUUCCUCAAUUUAGAGAGGACUGGAUAGUCUGUCGGGACCCUUCCAAUUCUAAAUUUCUAUGAGCUGCGGAAGCUGAGUCACCCCCUGGGAGCCAACGCUGUUUAGCAUUCAGGCCUGAACAGAAAAUCACAGAAUGGGAGUCUGGUUUGACUUUUUUUCUGUCCUUCUGUCUACAGAGGAAGAAAUAGCUGUCUCAUUCCCCCUUGCCAGAAGAAAAAAAAAUCAAUAGGUGUUUAAUCUGCAAGGGAGAUGAAUUUCCCUUCAACCCAAGGAGAUGUGGAAUGGCUCUGGGCUGAGGUUUGAUUGAAGUGUCAGGUGUCAGCCCGCAGGGAUGAUAAAUAAUCUCCCUCACCCCCUCGCUUUACAGAUAAAAAGUCUGAGGCUCAGAGAUGCUGGGCACCUUGCACAAGGCAGCCCAGCUUUCAGAGCAGAAAUACUACGCCCUUUCUGUCCCAUCAUGCUGGACAGCUCGGACCAUCUGCUUUCCUCAGGGACUCAGGUUUGCUGUGCCUCCCCCUCUUCUUCAUCCUCUCAUACUGUCCAAUAAUAAUUGGCAACAUACACAUCCAGCCCUCAGAAACUGGAGACAAGGACCAAGCUGAGUUUUCUGAUAUUAGUCAAGGUAGAUUCCUUGAAGAAAGUGCCUUUAACUUGGCCGCAAUCUGAAGCUCUGAAGCAUUCCAGUGAUUCUACAACACAUAGGCUUUGACUCUGCAGGACUUGCAGAUGAUUUCACAAAAUUUCCAAACCUUAAAAGGCAGAGUGAUGAAGCAUUGCAUCAGCAGUAUAGUGGCUAAUGGCUGGAUUCUCUUAAUUUCCAAAUAUCCCAUACCCACAACAUAGAAUCAGUGGGAUCGGGUACCUGUAAAAUCUGGCAGCCAUCCAAGGAUAGAUUUCCUCAUUUUACCAAAGGCACCAAAGAUCUUGGCAUCUUGGACCACCUCCUCUACCCCAGCAUCAGGCAUUUACUGAACUCCCCUACAAUCUCAUCGAUGGUAAAGGCUUUUGUGAGGCAAGGGAAGAAUCUCAGAAGCUUUCCUCUGGCCUAUUCUUGUCUUGCUGUCUCUGCCCACCUUCAGCCACCUGCCUCCCCCACCACACGUACCAAUUUAAAACAGCUUUCAGGCCCCCAUGAUUUUCUCCUAGUUUUCUGGUUAAUUCUUAAAAUCCAACUUUUCCUUUUGUUUCAUAAUUUCUCCAAUGCUGUUCUAAAAUAGACAAACAGCAGUUAAAUUGGUUAACCAUCUGCACAGAAAUUGGAAGUUCAUGGUGAUGCCUAACCAAAGAAAGAAAGAAAAGGAGGAGGAAGAGGAGAGGGAGGAGGAGGGGGGGAGAAGGAGGAGAAACAAAAUAAAGAUAAAGGACUAUAAAAUGCAUCCUAUAGAGCAAAGUUCAAAAUCUUUUCCACCACGUUCAAAGCGGAGCCUACCCCAUCAGUAAUUGGUACUGCCCAUUCAUUUAACUAACCUUUGAACACCUAUUCUGUGCUGGCACCGGGGAUACGCUGGUGAACAAGGCAGAUACGAAAACCCUUGCCCCUAGAGCACACAGGCUCCAGGCUGUAGUGGGAGCUGCUGGCAGAGACUUCCAGUGCAGGAACGGUGUGAAGCAUUCAGUUGGAUAGUGAAGGAACAGAAAGGAGGGUGGAUGGCUGGAGCAAAGUGCUCAGAGAAACAUUUUGGCUUUGGGCGACAUGAUUUUGGAUAUGCUUCAUUAUUUUUUAAAAUCCUAUCUUCACAUUUGGUGAUGCAACAAUGGAAAGGGAAGGAAACAGACACAGGGAAGUUAGGUAACUGGCCCAAGGUCACACCACUGACAAGCAGCAGCACUGGAUUUUGAACUGUGACAUCCAGGAUCGAGGGACGGCGCUAUUCCCCACCAUGCUAGACCAUUAUCUGUGCAAUGACGCUCAAGAAUCUUGUUUCUGAAGUCAAAGCAGGUGCCCUGUCUGCACUUAUUACUUCCAUCCUUGGUUGUUGUUGUUGUUGUUGUUGUUGUUGUUUUAACCAUUGUUAAAGAUCUCAUUUGAUAUUCAGAA